rnacentral:rRNA from 1 species
GACGGAGGGGGCAAGCGUUGUUCGGAAUUAUUGGGCGUAAAGGGCUCGUAGGCGGAUCUGAAAGUCUGACGUGAAAUCUCCACCGCUCACCGGGGAGGGGCCGUUGGAUACUACAGAUCUGGAGUUCGGUAGAGGGUCGUGGAAUUUCGGGUGUAGCGGUGGAAUGCGUAGAUAUCUGGAGGAACACCGGUGGCGAAGGCGGCGUUCUGGACUGCAACUGACACUGAUGAACGAAAGCCAGGGGAGCAAACGGG